AUUGAACGCUGGCGGCAUGCCUUACACAUGCAAGUCGAACGGUAACGGGCCUUCGGGUGCCGACGAGUGGCGAACGGGUGAGUAAUACAUCGGAACGUGCCCGAUCGUGGGGGAUAACGAGGCGAAAGCUUUGCUAAUACCGCAUACGAUCUACGGAUGAAAGCAGGGGACCGCAAGGCCUUGCGCGGACGGAGCGGCCGAUGGCAGAUUAGGGAGUUGGUGGGAUAAAAGCUUACCAAUCCGACGAUCUGUAGCUGGUCUGAGAGGAUGAUCAGCAACAUUGGGCCUGAGACCCGCCCAGACUCCUACGGGAGGCAGCAGUGGGGAAUUUUGGACAAUGGGCGCAAGCCUGAUCCAGCCAUGCCGCGUGCAGGAUGAAGGCCUUCGGGUUGUAAACUGCUUUUGUACGGAACAAAAAGCCUUCUUUUAAUACAGGAGGGUCAUGACGGUACCGUAAGAAUAAGCACCGGCUAACUACGUG
rnacentral:rRNA from 1 species